GUGAGGAAUAUUGGGCAAUGGGCGAAAGCUUGACCCAGCAACGCCGCGUGCGCGAUGAAGGCCUUCGGGUUGUAAAGCGCUUUUUCGAGGGACGAGAGAGGACGGUACCUUGGGAAUAAGUACCGGCUGACUACGUGCCAGCAGCCGCGGUAAAACGUAGGGUGCGAGCGUUAUCCGGAUUCACUGGGUGUAAAGCGCGUGCAGGUGGCCUGGUAAGUUGGACGUGAAAUCUUCUGGCUUAACUGGGAGAGGUCGUUCAAUACUGCUGGGCUUGAGUGCAGGAGAGGGCGGUGGAAUUCCCGGUGUAGUGGUGAAAUGCGUAGAUAUCGGGAGGAACACCAGUGGCGAAGGCGGCCGCCUGGCCUGCAACUGACACUCAGACGCGAAAGCUAGGGGAGCGAACGGGAUUAGAAACCCUAGUAGUCC
rnacentral:rRNA from 1 species